UAGUAAGAAGAGAAGCCGUCCAC
rnacentral:piRNA from 1 species